rnacentral:rRNA from 1 species
UACGUAGGGUGCAAGCGUUGUCCGGAAUUAUUGGGCGUAAAGAGCUCGUAGGCGGUUUGUCGCGUCGAAUGUGAAAACCCGGGGCUCAACCCCGGGCCUGCACUCGAUACGGGCAGACUAGAGUUCGGUAGGGGAGUCUGGAAUUCCUGGUGUAGCGGUGAAAUGCGCAGAUAUCAGGAGGAACAUCAGUGGCGAAAGCGGCUUCCUGGACCAGUACCGACGUUCAGGCACGAAAGCGUGGGGAGCAAACAGG